UACGAAGGGUGCUAGCGUUGUUCGGAAUCACUGGGCGUAAAGCGCGCGUAGGCGGCCAAUCAAGUCAGGGGUGAAAUGCCGGGGCUCAACUCCGGAACUGCCUUUGAAACUGAUUGGCUGGAAGAUGAGAGGGGAUAGCGGAAUUUCUGGUGUAGAGGUGAAAUUCGUAGAUACCAGAAGGAACACCGGUGGCGAAGGCGGCUAUCUGGCUCAUUCUUGACGCUCUGGCGCGAAAGCGUGGGGAUCAAACAGG
rnacentral:rRNA from 1 species